rnacentral:rRNA from 1 species
GACGAACGCUGGCGGCGUGCUUAACACAUGCCAGUCGAACGGAAAGGCCCUGCUUUUGUGGGGUGCUCGAGUGGCGAACGGGUGAGUAACACGUGAGUAACCUGCCCUUGACGUUGGGAUAACUUCAGGAAACUGGGGCUAAUACCGGAUAGGAGCUCCUGCUGCAUGGUGGGGGUUGGAAAGUUUCGGCGGUUGGGGAUGGACUCGCGGCUUAUCAGCUUGUUGGUGGGGUAGUGGCUUACCAAGGCUUUGACGGGUAGCCGGCCUGAGAGGGUGACCGGCCACAUUGGGACUGAGAUACGGCCCAGACUCCUACGGGAGGCAGCAGUGGGGAAUAUUGCACAAUGGGCGGAAGCCUGAUGCAGCAACGCCGCGUGCGGGAUGACGGCCUUCGGGUUGUAAACCGCUUUCGCCUGUGACGAAGCGUGAGUGACGGUAAUGGGUAAAGAAGCACCGGCUAACUACGUG